CAGUCGAACGGUCUUUUCGGAGANAGUGGCGGACGGGUGAGUAACGCGUNNCNNUNNNNNNNNNCNGGUCGGGGACAACCACUGGAAACGGUGGCNNNNNNANNGNNNNAUGCCGAGAGGUGAAAGGCUAGCUGCCUGAAGAUGAGCUCGCGUCUGAUUAGCUAGUAGGUGUGGUAAAGGCGCACCUAGGCGACGAUCAGUAGCUGGUCUGAGAGGAUGAUCAGCCACACUGGGACUGAGACACGGCCCAGACUCCUACGGGAGGCAGCAGUGGGGAAUUUUCCGCAAUGGGCGAAAGCCUGACGGAGCAAUACCGCGUGAGGGAGGAAGGCUCUUGGGUUGUAAACCUCUUUUCUCAGGGAAGAAAAAAAUGACGGUACCUGAGGAAUAAGCAUCGGCUAACUCCGUGCCAGCAGCCGCGGUAAUACGGAGGAUGCAAGCGUUAUCCGGAAUGAUUGGGCGUAAAGGGUCCGCAGGUGGCCAUGUAAGUCUGCUGUUAAAGAAUGAGGCUUAACCUCAUCAGAGCGGUGGAAACUACAGAGCUAGAGUGCGGUCGGGGUAGAGGGAAUUCCUGGUGUAGCGGUGAAAUGCGUAGAUAUCAGGAAGAACACCAGUGGCGAAAGCGCUCUACUAGACCAUAACUGACACUGAGGGACGAAAGCUAGGGGAGCGAAUGGGAUUAGAUACCCCAGUAGUCCUAGCCGUAAACGAUGGAUACUAGGCGUGGCUUGUAUCGACCCGAGCCGUGCCGAA
rnacentral:rRNA from 1 species